GGCUCAGAUUGAACGCUGGCGGCAGGCCUAACACAUGCAAGUCGAAUGGUAACAGGAAACAGCUUGCUGUUUCGCUGACGAGUGGCGGACGGGUGAGUAAUGUCUGGGAAACUGCCUGAUGGAGGGGGAUAACUACUGGAAACGUAGCUAAUACCGCAUAACGUCGCAAGACCAAAGAGGGGACCUUCGGGCCUCUUGCCAUCAGAUGUGCCCAGAUGGGAUUAGCUAGUAGGUGGGGUAACGGCUCACCUAGGCGACGAUCCCUAGCUGGUCUGAGAGGAUGACCAGCCACACUGGAACUGAGACACGGUCCAGACUCCUACGGGAGGCAGCAGUGGGGAAUAUUGCACAAUGGGCGCAAGCCUGAUGCAGCCAUGCCGCGUGUAUGAAGAAGGCCUUCGGGUUGUAAAGUACUUUCAGCGGGGAGGAAGGGAGUAAAGUUAAUACCUUUGCUCAUUGACGUUACCCGCAGAAGAAGCACCGGCUAACUCCGUG
rnacentral:rRNA from 1 species